AGAUUGUUAAGUUUCCAUAAUGUUUUGUGUUCUGUUAACAUCAUAACCAAAAUACUUUAUCCUACUUUUUAUGUGUGCAGAUUGAAUACGCAUAAGAUUGGUAGCGGGGAAGAUGGUAUAUAUACGCUCUUCUAUGAAGACUUUUUGUUUGGAUAUAUGUUUCUAUGAAGACUUCUUUUUUGGAUGAAGUUCCGAGUCUUCUUUUUUGGAUACAUGCUUCUAUGAAGACUUCUUUUUUGGUUGAAGUUCCGAGUUUUCUUUUUCAUUUUAAUGAUGCUACCGAACUAUGAUGAACAUAUAUGGUAUGGUCUACCUUUCAUAUUUUUGUCAUGGGAACAUUGAUGCUUUAGAUCCUAUGGUUGAAUGGACAUUUGGUGUAGAAUACAUAGUUCUUGUAGUUAAUGGAUGUCUAGUUUGGCACGUGAUUAUAUUGGUUUAUGAAAAUAUGUUAGC